rnacentral:misc_RNA from 1 species
CAUUCAGUAGCUUGCUACUGUUAGGGGGGGUCCAUUAGUCUGUAUAGUAUCACUACUGAUGCAGCAGCACGACUCCCUGUCUAUACCCUUGUCUUUUGCGCACUCAUGUUUCCUCGGCGGCUUGAUACCCGCCGGCUGGAUCAAUCUAUAACCUUUUUAAUCUUCAAUCAGCGCCUGAAAAAACCUAAUUAAUUUA